rfam:Lingula anatina scaffold64, whole genome shotgun sequence.
GCAACGGUGGUUCAGUGGUAGAAUGAUCGCCUGCCGCCCGGGUGGUCCUGGUGCGCUUCCCGGCCGAUGCA